rnacentral:rRNA from 1 species
UUAAGCGACUAAGCGUACACGGUGGAUGCCCUGGCAGUCAGAGGCGAUGAAGGGCGUGCUAAUCUGCGAUAAGCGCCGGUAAGGUGAUAUGAACCGUUAUAACCGGCGAUACCCGAAUGGGGAAACCCAGUGUGAUUCGUCACACUAUCAUUAACUGAAUCCAUAGGUUAAUGAGGCGAACCGGGGGAACUGAAACAUCUAAGUACCCCGAGGAAAAGAAAUCAACCGAGAUUCCCCCAGUAGCGGCGAGCGAACGGGGAGGAGCCCAGAGCCUGAAUCAGCAUGUGUGUUAGUGGAAGCGUCUGGAAAGGCGCGCGAUACAGGGUGACAGCCCCGUACACAAAAGCGCAUGUGCUGUGAGCUCGAUGAGUAGGGCGGGACACGUGGUAUCCUGUCUGAAUAUGGGGGGACCAUCCUCCAAGGCUAAAUACUCCUGACUGACCGAUAGUGAACCAGUACCGUGAGGGAAAGGCGAAAAGAACCCCGGCGAGGGGAGUGAAAAAGAACCUGAAACCGUGUACGUACAAGCAGUGGGAGCACAGGUUUACCUGUGUGACUGCGUACCUUUUGUAUAAUGGGUCAGCGACUUAUAUUCUGUAGCAAGGUUAACCGUAUAGGGGAGCCGGAGGGAAACCGAGUCUUAAUUGGGCGUUAAGUUGCAGGGUAUAGACCCGAAACCCGGUGAUCUAGCCAUGGGCAGGUUGAAGGUUGGGUAACACUAACUGGAGGACCGAACCGACUAAUGUUGAAAAAUUAGCGGAUGACCUGUGGCUGGGGGUGAAAGGCCAAUCAAACCGGGAGAUAGCUGGUUCUCCCCGAAAGCUAUUUAGGUAGCGCCUCGUGAAUUCAUCUCCGGGGGUAGAGCACUGUUUCGGCUAGGGGGCCAUCCCGGCUUACCAACCCGAUGCAAACUGCGAAUACCGGAGAAUGUUAUCACGGGAGACACACGGCGGGUGCUAACGUCCGUCGUGAAGAGGGAAACAACCCAGACCGCCAGCUAAGGUCCCAAAGUCAUGGUUAAGUGGGAAACGAUGUGGGAAGGCCCAGACAGCCAGGAUGUUGGCUUAGAAGCAGCCAUCAUUUAAAGAAAGCGUAAUAGCUCACUGGUCGAGUCGGCCUGCGCGGAAGAUGUAACGGGGCUAAACCAUGCACCGAAGCUGCGGCAGCGACGCUUAUGCGUUGUUGGGUAGGGGAGCGUUCUGUAAGCCUGUGAAGGUGGCCUGUGAGGGUUGCUGGAGGUAUCAGAAGUGCGAAUGCUGACAUAAGUAACGAUAAAGCGGGUGAAAAGCCCGCUCGCCGGAAGACCAAGGGUUCCUGUCCAACGUUAAUCGGGGCAGGGUGAGUCGACCCCUAAGGCGAGGCCGAAAGGCGUAGUCGAUGGGAAACGGGUUAAUAUUCCCGUACUUGGUGUUACUGCGAAGGGGGGACGGAGAAGGCUAUGUUGGCCGGGCGACGGUUGUCCCGGUUUAAGCGUGUAGGUGUGUGUUCCAGGUAAAUCCGGUUCACUUUAACACUGAGGCGUGACGACGAGGCACUACGGUGCUGAAGCAACAAAUGCCCUGCUUCCAGGAAAAGCCUCUAAGCAUCAGGUAACAUCAAAUCGUACCCCAAACCGACACAGGUGGUCAGGUAGAGAAUACCAAGGCGCUUGAGAGAACUCGGGUGAAGGAACUAGGCAAAAUGGUGCCGUAACUUCGGGAGAAGGCACGCUGACACGUAGGUGAAGUGAUUUACUCAUGGAGCUGAAGUCAGUCGAAGAUACCAGCUGGCUGCAACUGUUUAUUAAAAACACAGCACUGUGCAAACACGAAAGUGGACGUAUACGGUGUGACGCCUGCCCGGUGCCGGAAGGUUAAUUGAUGGGGUCAGCGCAAGCGAAGCUCCUGAUCGAAGCCCCGGUAAACGGCGGCCGUAACUAUAACGGUCCUAAGGUAGCGAAAUUCCUUGUCGGGUAAGUUCCGACCUGCACGAAUGGCGUAAUGAUGGCCAGGCUGUCUCCACCCGAGACUCAGUGAAAUUGAACUCGCUGUGAAGAUGCAGUGUACCCGCGGCAAGACGGAAAGACCCCGUGAACCUUUACUAUAGCUUGACACUGAACAUUGAGCCUUGAUGUGUAGGAUAGGUGGGAGGCUUUGAAGCGUGGACGCCAGUCUGCGUGGAGCCGACCUUGAAAUACCACCCUUUAAUGUUUGAUGUUCUAACGUGGACCCGUAAUCCGGGUUGCGGACAGUGUCUGGUGGGUAGUUUGACUGGGGCGGUCUCCUCCUAAAGAGUAACGGAGGAGCACGAAGGUUGGCUAAUCCUGGUCGGACAUCAGGAGGUUAGUGCAAUGGCAUAAGCCAGCUUGACUGCGAGCGUGACGGCGCGAGCAGGUGCGAAAGCAGGUCAUAGUGAUCCGGUGGUUCUGAAUGGAAGGGCCAUCGCUCAACGGAUAAAAGGUACUCCGGGGAUAACAGGCUGAUACCGCCCAAGAGUUCAUAUCGACGGCGGUGUUUGGCACCUCGAUGUCGGCUCAUCACAUCCUGGGGCUGAAGUAGGUCCCAAGGGUAUGGCUGUUCGCCAUUUAAAGUGGUACGCGAGCUGGGUUUAGAACGUCGUGAGACAGUUCGGUCCCUAUCUGCCGUGGGCGCUGGAGAACUGAGGGGGGCUGCUCCUAGUACGAGAGGACCGGAGUGGACGCAUCACUGGUGUUCGGGUUGUCAUGCCAAUGGCACUGCCCGGUAGCUAAAUGCGGAAGAGAUAAGUGCUGAAAGCAUCUAAGCACGAAACUUGCCCCGAGAUGAGUUCUCCCUGAGACUUAGAGUCUCCUGAAGGAACGUUGAAGACGACGACGUUGAUAGGCCGGGUGUGUAAGCGCAGCGAUGCGUUGAGCUAACCGGUACUAAUGAACCGUGAGGCUUAACCUU